rnacentral:rRNA from 1 species
UACGUAGGGGUCGAGCGUUGUCCGGAUUUAUUGGGCGUAAAGAGCGUGUAGGCGGCCAGACAGGUCCGUUGUGAAAACUAGAGGCUUAACCUCUAGACGUCGAUGGAAACCGUCUGGCUAGAGUCCGGAAGAGGAGAAUGGAAUUCCUGGUGUAGCGGUGAAAUGCGCAGAUAUCAGGAAGAACACCCGUGGCUAAGGCGGUUCUCUAGUACGGUACUGACGCUGAGACGCGAAAGCGUGGGGAGCGAACAGG